GAGUAACGUGUGGGCAACCUGCCUCAUACAGAGGGAUAAUCAUGUGAAAACGUGACUAAUACCGCAUGUCAUUUGUUGAAGGCAUCUUCGACAAAGAAAAGGAGCAAUCCGGUAUGAGAUGGGCCCGCAUCUGAUUAGCUAGUUGGUGAGAUAACAGCCCACCAAGGCGACGAUCAGUAGCCGACCUGAGAGGGUGAUCGGCCACAUUGGGACUGAGACACGGCCCAAACUCCUACGGGAGGCAGCAGUGGGGAAUAUUGCACAAUGGGGGAAACCCUGAUGCAGCAACGCCGCGUGAAGGAAGACGGUUUUCGGAUUGUAAACUUCUAUCAAUAGGGACGAAGAAAGUGACGGUACCUAAAUAAGAAGCCCCGGCUAACUACGUGCCAGCAGCCGCGGUAAUACGUAGGGGGCAAGCGUUAUCCGGAAUUACUGGGUGUAAAGGGUGAGUAGGCGGCAUGACAAGUAAGAUGUGAAAGCCCGUGGCUUAACCACGGGAUUGCAUUUUAAACUGUUGAGCUAGAGUACAGGAGAGGAAAGCGGAAUUCCCAGUGUAGCGGUGAAAUGCGUAGAUAUUGGGAAGAACACCAGUGGCGAAGGCGGCUUUCUGGACUGAAACUGACGCUGAGGCACGAAAGCGUGGGGAGCAAACAGGAUUAGAUACCCUGGUAGUCCACGCCGUAAACGAUGAGUGCUAGGUGUC
rnacentral:rRNA from 1 species